GUAGGUGAACCUGCGGAAGGAUCAUUAUCGUAGGGCUUCGGCCCUGUCGAGAUAGAACCCUUGCCUUUUUGAGUACCUUUCGUUUCCUCGGCAGGCUCGCCUGCCAAUGGGGACCCAACAAACACUUUGCAGUACCUGUAAUAGUCUGAAAAACAAACAAAAAUUAAAACUUUCAACAACGGAUCUCUUGGUUCUG
rnacentral:misc_RNA from 1 species